rfam:Oryza glaberrima chromosome 2 Oglab02_0023_81, whole genome shotgun sequence.
AAUAAGUAUAGUUUUGGACUAUUCACGUUUAACGUUUGACCAUUCGUCUUAUUUGAAAAUUUUUCAUGAUUAGUAUUUUUAUUGCUAUUAGAUGAUAAAACAUAAAUAGUACUUUAUGUGUGACUAAAUAUUUUCAAAUUUUUCACAAAUUUUUUAAAUAAGACGGACGGUCAAACGUUGGGUACGGAUAUCUACGGCUACACUUAUU